AGCGCGACGCUCUCCCCAAGGACGAAGCCAUGCAUGCCCGCUCACCCGGGACGCGGCGGACGGCUCAGGACAACGGUUGCACCCCCCGCGGCGGUCCCUGCUAGCCGGACACCGCUGGCAACCCGGCGCCAAGACGUGCGCGCAAGGGCGGGCGCCCGCGGGCGAGCAGCGUGACGCAGCGACGGCCCGCCCGGGCUUCCGGGGCAUCACCCGGUCGGCGCGGUCGCGGCGCGCCGAGGGCCCGACGCCUGGC
rnacentral:rRNA from 1 species